GGAUGUGAUUGGGAAGAAGAUCUAGUUUGUUGAUUGCAAAUUACAGUAGCUUUAGGAGCUACCUGGUUGGGUUGUGGAUCUUGGUUUUUGAUUGUGUAUGCUUUGCAGCUCCUCGAACUGGAACCUACCAAGGUAAUUGGGCAAUGGCAUGUAGGCCUAUUUCUCCUACCGAGUAAUCACCAAGGUUUGUAAAACAAAAGCAUCUUAUUGAUGUCACUGAAGUAUUCAGGGUUCUUAAUACUGAGAAGAAGUGUUGGCUUGUUAAGCUUGCUGUCUACUUUUGUCUCCUCACUAUAAUCAUUAUCAGGCUAUGCGAAGGGGCAAUACUCCGGCACUAGCAACUUUUGACAUUUCUGAUAUCCCUCCCGACCUGGUAAAUCCAAGUGCAGUUGAAUUAGCUUUGGACAUCAGAAAAGAAUAUGCCAAAAACUUGAGCAGGUAAAAUUUCCAUUUCCGUAACCAUGCUUGGUAUGAGGUUGUGCCAAAGUUUGACCAUG